rnacentral:rRNA from 2 species
UAGCGGCCUUAGCGCGGUGGUCCCACCUGACCCCAUGCCGAACUCAGAAGUGAAACGCCGUAGCGCCGAUGGUAGUGUGGGGUCUCCCCAUGCGAGAGUAGGGAACUGCCA